UAAGGAAUAUUGGUCAAUGGACGCAAGUCUGAACCAGCCAUGCCGCGUGAAGGAUGAAGGUCCUCUGGAUUGUAAACUUCUUUUAUCUGGGACGAAAACGGGAUUUUUAUCUCAAUUGACGGUACCAGAGGAAUAAGCACCGGCUAACUCCGUGCCAGCAGCCGCGGUAAUACGGAGGGUGCGAGCGUUAUCCGGAUUUACUGGGUUUAAAGGGUGCGUAGGUGGGCUUAUAAGUCAGUGGUGAAAUCUCCGAGCUUAACUUGGAAACUGCCGUUGAUACUAUAGGUCUUGAAUUAUCUGGAGGGAAGCGGAAUAUGUCAUGUAGCGGUGAAAUGCUUAGAUAUGACAUAGAACACCAAUUGCGAAGGCAGCUUACUACAUAUAAAUUGACGCUGAGGCACGAAAGCGUGGGGAUCAAAC
rnacentral:rRNA from 1 species